ensembl:lncRNA
AAAAUUUCUCGGGGUAGUUUGUUACAGCGUAAAAUAUGUCACUUCCUGUUGCCAGUAGGUGGCGCUAUGACUAUAACUGAAUAUUGGCAUAUCAAUCUGUUCAGGUCAGGAGUCUUAUCAAACAUGUGAAGUUUGGGGCAGAUUGGACAUUGUAUGUCUGAGUUAUAGCAACUUCAUUUUUCAUGGCGAAUCAUCGAAAUUCGUCAGGCCGCCACGGACACGCCCUUCAACGAAAACUCAAGAUCUUCGCAAUUUAACAUCGCAAAGGCCUUUAGAUUAGGCAUACCAAAUUUGGUGUUGAUCUGAAUAAAUCUCUAGGAGGAGUUCGUUAAAAUACAAGGCAUGCAAAUGAC